CAGCGUCGGGUCCUUUAUGAAGUGCCCGGAUGAAGCUCCAGGACCCACGCGCCUUCCGUAUUGAGUGCAUCGCCAUCUUGAGAGGGGCGGAGCCGUCUUGGCGUGUGUGACGUCUGCUCAAAGAGCCAAUCCCAGAGUCGCGGCUGCUUUGCUUGCUGCGCGUGCGUGCACGUACCCGGGCGUGCAGUGCUGCGGCCGGUUUCGGGAUGGCUGUCAGGUCUUUGCAGAGCAGAAAAUCCCUUCUGGGAGCACCCUGAUCCCCUGGGAGCACUACAACACCUGCAGGUGGUAGAAGUACACUGAUUGCAUAAUAAACUGGCUUUAGCCUAAGUGUCCAUCAAUGGACGAAUGGAUCAAGAAGAUGUGGUUUAUCUAUACGAUGGAAUACU